GAGCUAAAUCCAAAGGGAAGGCGGAGGAUUGAAAGCAGCGGAGACACAGGUGGCUUUCCACAAUACUGCGCUUCUGGUCACCAAGGAAACAUCUGGAAGCUCCUCUGGGGCUUCUAGUGAACCUCAGUCUCCUGCAGAUGCUUCCGGAGUUGUUCAUUUGUUGGAUAUCUAAGCUGUAUACAGAUACGUCUGUAUACAUCCCAAAGAUGGAGUUUGAACCCAAAGCACACUGUUCUUAGUUAAAUCCCUGCUUUAAGGAAACGAAGCUUCUGAAAUCAGAAUUUGCCACACACAGUAAUUGGAAAGCGGAUGAUUUUGGGGACACCAACCACUCGUCACUUUAUAAAA